rnacentral:rRNA from 1 species
AGUGAACGCUGGCGGUAGGCCUAACACAUGCAAGUCGAACGGCAGCACAGUAAGAGCUUGCUCUUACGGGUGGCGAGUGGCGGACGGGUGAGGAAUACAUCGGAAUCUACUUUUUCGUGGGGGAUAACGUAGGGAAACUUACGCUAAUACCGCAUACGACCUACGGGUGAAAGCAGGGGAUCUUCGGACCUUGCGCGAUUGAAUGAGCCGAUGUCGGAUUAGCUAGUUGGCGGGGUAAAGGCCCACCAAGGCGACGAUCCGUAGCUGGUCUGAGAGGAUGAUCAGCCACACUGGAACUGAGACACGGUCCAGACUCCUACGGGAGGAAGCAGUGGGGAAUAUUGGACAAUGGGCGCAAGCCUGAUCCAGCCAUACCGCGUGGGUGAAGAAGGCCUUCGGGUUGUAAAGCCCUUUUGCUGGGAAAGAAAAGCAGCAGGUUAAUACCCCGCUGUUCUGACGGUACCCAAAGAAUAAGCACCGGCUAACUUCGUG